rnacentral:rRNA from 1 species
CACAAGCGGUGGAGCAUGUGGUUUAAUUCGAUGAUACGCGAGGAACCUUACCUGGGCUCAAAUGUAUGUUGACGUAUUCUGAAAGGGAUACUUCUUCGGACAAUAUACAAGGUGCUGCAUGGUUGUCGUCAGCUCGUGCCGUGAGGUGUCGGGUUAAGUCCCAUAACGAGCGCGACCCCUAUCAUUAGUUGCCAUCAGGUCAAGCUGGGGACUCUAAUGAAACUGCCUACGCAAGUAGUGAGGAAGGUGGGGAUGACGUCAAAUCAGCACGGCCCUUACGUCCAGGGCUACACACGUGCUACAAUGGCCGGUACAAAGGGCAGCUACCUGGUGACAGGAUGCUAAUCUCAAAAGCCGGUCUCAGUUCGGAUCGGAGUCUGCAACUCGACUUCAUGAAGUCGGAAUCGCUAGUAAUCGCGGAUCAGAACGCCGCGGUGAAUACGUUCUCGGGGUUU